rnacentral:rRNA from 1 species
GGCGAACGCUGGCGGCGUGCCUAAUACAUGCAAGUCGAGCGGAAUGAUGAAGAAGCUUGCUUCUUCUGAUUUUUAGCGGCGGACGGGUGAGUAACACGUGGGCAACCUACCUUGUAGAUUGGGAUAACUCCGGGAAACCGGGGCUAAUACCGAAUAAUCCAUUUUGCUUCAUGGCGAGAUGUUGAAAGACGGUUUCGGCUGUCACUACAAGAUGGGCCCGCGGCGCAUUAGCUAGUUGGUAGGGUAAUGGCCUACCAAGGCGACGAUGCGUAGCCGACCUGAGAGGGUGAUCGGCCACACUGGGACUGAGACACGGCCCAGACUCCUACGGGAGGCAGCAGUAGGGAAUCUUCCACAAUGGACGAAAGUCUGAUGGAGCAACGCCGCGUGAGUGAAGAAGGUUUUCGGAUCGUAAAACUCUGUUGUAAGGGAAGAACACGUACGAGAGUAACUGCUCGUACCUUGACGGUACCUUAUUAGAAAGCCACGGCUAACUACGUG